GUCCACGCCGUAAACGAUGAGUACUAGGUGUUGCGGGUAUUGACCCCUGCAGUGCCGCAGCUAACGCAUUAAGUACUCCGCCUGGGAAGUACGGUCGCAAGACUAAAACUCAAAGGAAUUGACGGGGGCCCCGCACAAGCGGUGGAGCAUGUGGUUUAAUUCGACGCAACGCGCAGAACCUUACCUGGUCUUGACAUCUACGGAACCCUCCUGAAACGGAGGGGUGCCUUUCGGGGAGCCGUAAGACAGGUGCUGCAUGGCUGUCGU
rnacentral:rRNA from 1 species